UACGUAGGGUGCGAGCGUUAAUCGGAAUUACUGGGCGUAAAGCGUGCGCAGGCGGUUUGUUAAGCCAGAUGUGAAAGCCCCGGGCUCAACCUGGGAACUGCGUUUGGUACUGGCAAGCUAGAGUACGGUAGAGGGGGGUGGAAUUCCACGUGUAGCAGUGAAAUGCGUAGAGAUGUGGAGGAACACCGAUGGCGAAGGCAGCCCCCUGGGCCGAUACUGACGCUCAGGCACGAAAGCGUGGGGAGCAAACAGG
rnacentral:rRNA from 1 species